UCUUACCACCAUGCCACCCUGAUCUCAUUUGAUCUCAGAAGCUAAACAGGUUUGGGCCUGGUUAGUAUUUGGAUGUGAGACCCCCCUGGGAACACCAGGUGCCGUAAGUU
rnacentral:rRNA from 1 species